AAAACAGGUUUUCUCGGCAGUUAACUGCCGAAGUUUUCCUCGGCAGUUAACUGCCGAGGGAUAU
rnacentral:pre_miRNA from 1 species